AAGCAAUUACAUUUGUAUUUGAUAUUUUCAUUUAAUCUACAACAGCAUAGCUUGUCUCCCGAUUGUUUAUCAAUAAAUAAUUUAUAUAUAUAUAACUUGGUAAAGUUUUGAACAUUGUCGGCAGCUAAAUUACCACAAGCAUAUUAAAUCAUUUCAUCAUGGUAAAAUUUGCUUGGCUGUCAAAUUGAUCAAAUUUUAUUGAUUUUUUGGAACUUGAAAGCUUCGUAAUAUUUUAUUUGAUAAUGAUAUCAAAAUUGCCUGUUAUGUUGAGGUUUAAUUAAGUUAUAUAUUUAGAUUUUUACUGUAUUAAUUAUGUUUAACAUUUUAGUAUGGGAAUGUGCAAUGAAAGUUUGAUAUAAACGUUGAUUUAAAUGUCAUUAAUAAACAGUAUUGUCAAUAUUGUUCUAAAAUCUCAAAUAUAUAUUUAUGUUUAAAAAUGUGAUUAAAUUGACAUUGUGUCCGUCCUAUUUCACCUAUCCUGAGACUCUCCUCUUUUCUGCCUCCAUGAAUUUUGAAAGUGUCUAUACCUUGUUUUGUGGGAAAAUAUGGCAAUGCCUUGCCAAUAUAAAAAUGAAAUAUUUUGGUCUUUUUGAAAAAAUUUUAUGUAUGGGAGAAAGUUGGGAGUUCAAUCAUGAUUUAGGAAAACUAUUUUUUGUAUGUUAGGUAAUACAUUUAUUUGACGAAUUACAUUAGAUGUCAUAAAUAUUUCCUUAACAAAGCAUUGGCUAUACUGUGUAUUAAUGUAAAUGUUUAGAGUGGAAAAAUGCACGGCCAAACCGGGGUUCAAACCCGGGACCUCCGAAACACUAGCCGGACACACAACGGUUCAAACUACUCGACACAAAAAAAAUGUAUUUUGAAUACUGCAUAUUAUCUUUUAUUAAGUAAAAACACUUUAUGCUCUUUAGGUUUCGGCGAAAUAUGGUUCUGUCAAUCACAAAAUAACUCACCUUGUAUACGACAAAGAAUUAUUGACCAAGCCCAACAGUAUUUGAGAGAUGCAUUAGAAAAGUCCUCGAAAUGUGUUUUAUAUACACAUAUUGUGGAUAAUUUUUCUAUUCAGUUUUAUUUAACUAAGUAUAUACCUAUGAAAUUCAGAAUAUGUUUAUCUAAACUACGCAUGUCUGCGCAUUCCUUAGCAAUUGAAACUGGCCGCUUUAACAAUAUUGAUCGAAAUUUGAGACACUGUUUAAUUUGUAAAUCAACGACUGAGAUAGAAGAUGAAUACCAUUUUGUAUUAAUAUGUAAUAAGUAUACCAAUUUAAGAAGACGCCUCAUUAAGAAAUACUAUUGGCAAAAGCCUUCAAUGUUCAAAUUAAUACAGUUAUUAAGUGUACAAAAUAUUAAAGAAUUAUGUCGCUGAGGCAAAUUUAUAUUUGAAGCAAACAAGAUCUGAUCUUUAUAUCUUUAAUCCGUACUCCUCUUUGUAUUUGUACUGUAGCAUUGCUGUUCUAUGCCAUUAUCAUGUAUUGUUUUGUUUAUAAUAUGUACUUAUGGGCCGUACGGCCUACAGUCAAUAAAGAAUUUUAAUUUGAGUGUUAAUGAAGUACUGAUCGAUACUAAGUUAAUUAUAGUUUAUACACAGUCAUACUAUGGUCAUUAAUUAUUUUGAAAAAUCCCCCAUCCACACUCUCUCCUUGUGAAAUCAAGCCUUGUACUGUUCUUAGCUACAUGUACAUGUUCUUCAAGUCUUUUCCUCAUAUUUGGUAAUUCUUUAUUAAGAAUACAAAUGUAUUAAAGAAUAUCCAAAUUUUCAUUCUCAAUUUUUGAUAUUUUUUUAGGAAGUGCAUUUUUAGAGAUGUGAAUAUAUUGAUGCUGUAAUUAAUUAUGAUGUUGAAUACAGUCACGUAAAAUGUCAUAAUAUGACUUUUUUUUUUGUCAUACACUUAAGUGAAUUUUCUCUGUAAUAGUCUUUGUAGUCUGUAUGUUUCGGAGUUUGAAACCUGUCAGCUCUGUCAGUAUCAGGCCUAACUACAUCCUAGUGCAUUUUAUACACUCUCUUACAUUCUUACAUUAAGACAUAAUAUCACACACACAUUUCUUGUGUAGACAUGUCAAACAGAAUUUAUAUAUCACAGUCACUUCAUAUUUUUUUAAUCAUUUUUUAUUCAUUUUAAUUCUUUUACAAGACAUACAAUAACAUACAUACAUGUAUAUACAUUAGGGGAAGCAUUACAUACAAUAUAUACUUUACAUCAACAUUACAUUCUCCCUGGUGGUAUAAAAUAAUAUAUUACGAUAUACAAAAUGUAUUUGGUUAACUUCAUGAAGCAGUUGAAUUUAUUAUUAAAGUAUAUACUGACUUUAUCUUUGAUUGAAACGUAGAAUAGCAAAGAAUGUAAUAGACUGGAAUAAUAUAUUUUCAUAAAACAUUGAUUUAUUGUCAAUAUCUGUCCAUUUUUGGAAUUCUUGUAUUUGUUUGUUGGUAUCAGAUAUAUUUUUACUCUAUGGGUGCCAUUUUAUGCUUUUGUAUUAAGAUUUUCAUUAAGAUAAACAUACAUCAGACCUGUGAUAAUGGAAUGAUACAUGUUUAAAAACCUGUAAGUGACAGCCAUGUACCAUGUUACUAGUUACAGCCAGGUGUUGUGUUACUAGUUAAAGCCAGGUACCGUGUUACUUGUUAAAGCCAGGUACCAUGUUACUAGUUAAAGCCAGGUACCAUGUUACUAGUUAAAGCCAGGUACCAUGUUACUAGUUAAAGCCAGGUACCAUGUUACUAGUUAAAGCCAGGUACCAUGUUACAGCCAGGUACCGUGUUACUAGUUAAAGCCAGGUACCGUGUUACUAGUUAAAGCCAGGUACCGUGUUACUAGUUAAAGCCAGGUACCAUGUUACUAGUUAAAGCCAGGUACCGUGUUACUAGUUAAAGCCAGGUACCAUGUUACUAGUUAAAGCCAGGUACCAUGUUACAGCCAGGUACCGUGUUACUAGUUAAAGCCAGGUACCAUGUUACUAGUUAAAGCCAGGUACCGUGUUACUUGUGAAAACCAGGUACCAUGUUACUAGUUAAAGCCAGGUACCAUGUUACUAGUUAAAGCCAGGUAUCAUGUUACUAGUUAAAGCCAGGUACCGUGUUACUUGUUAAAGCCAGGUACCAUGUUACUUGUUAAAGCCAGGUACCAUGUUACGUGUUAAAGCCAGGUACCAUGUUACUAGUUAAAGCCAGGUACCAUGUUACUAGUUAAAGCCAGGUACCAUGUUACUUGUUAAAGCCAGGUACCAUGUUACUAGUUAAAGCCAGAUACCAUGUUACUAGUUAAAGCCAGGUACCAUGUUACAGCCAGGUACCAUGUUACUAGUUAAAGCCAGGUACCAUGUUACUAGUUAAAGCCAGGUACCAUGUUACUUGUUAAAGCCAGGUACCAUGUUACUAGUUAAAGCCAGGUACCAUGUUACAGCCAGGUACCAUGUUACUAGUUAAAGCCAUGUACCAUGUUACUAGUUACAGCCAGGUGUUGUGUUACUAGUUAAAGCCAGGUACUGUGUUACUAGUUAAAGCCAGGUACCAUGUUACUAGUUAAAGCCAGGUACCCUGUUACUAGUUACAGCCAUGUACCGUGUUACUUGUUACAGCCAUGUACCAUGUUACUAGUUAAAGCCAGGUACCAUGUUACUAGUUAAAGCCAGGUACCAUGUUACUAGUUAAAGCCAGGUACCGUGUUACUAGUUAAAGCCAUGUACCAUGUUACUAGUUAAAGCCAGGUACCAUGUUACUAGUAAAAGCCAGGUACCGUGUUACUAGUUAAAGCCAGGUACCAUGUUACUAGUUAAAGCCAGGUACCAUGUUACUUGUGAAAGCCAGGUACCAUGUUACUAGUUAAAGCCAGGUAUCAUGUUACUAGUUAAAGCCAGGUACCAUGUUACUAGUUAAAGCCAGGUACCAUGUUACUAGUUAAAGCCAGGUACCAUGUUACUUGUGAAAGCCAGGUACCAUGUUACUUAUUAAAGCCAGGUACCAUGUUACUUGUGAAAGCCAGGUACCAUAUUACUUGUUUAUGGCAAUAAGAUAUGUUUAAAUAAAAUUCAGAUUAAUAAAAUCUUGUACAUCAUGAGAAAUGAAAAAUAUAAUUGUUGUCAUCGUUUUUAAAACCCCACUUGGCAUGGAAAUGUGUCCUUGAAGACAACAGUUAUUGCUUGCAUCAUCACUAAUUUGAGCGACAACUCUCUGCUACAAUACGUCAGAUUUUUACAGUCUUUCAAUAAAAACUUCUUCAGUC